AUACAUAGUGUGCAUCACUGAUCGCAGUUCGGGGGAUUUCCCCCAGAUGCAUGGUUCAUUCGGUCGGUUCACGGGGCAAAUAGGGGGAAAAUUGUAAAAAGAGUAUAUUUUAGGGAAACCUAUCCAGGGGCGUUCGUGAAUAUGAAAAUGGAAAUUUCGGAUGGUCUCGUGGAGCAGCGUAACCUAUCUAAACUAUCGGGUCGCUGGCAACGCCAUGCGCCAAAAUGUGCGCAGUGACUCGGGCGAUUUCAUUAAAUGGGCAAGUUACGCGCCUACCCAUAUUAAUCUUCAGGCGGAUCAGCCCAGCCCUGCUUCUUCUGCCUUUGCACGUGAAAGAGUAGAUUAUAGUUAGCACACAGUGUUUUUUCGGAUACAGAGAUGACCGAGUUUUUUUUAUAGUCAAUAAUAUUUAUUAAAUCGUUUAUUAAAUGUGAAAGAUAUCGUAACACGUAACGACGUAAAAAUUAAUGUUUUGACACGCAAAACGUAUCAUUCUUUUUUUCCUCUUUUUAUCAUCUCUUCUCACAUAAUAUCCACAGAUGUCUCCGAAGCAAUGAGUAUUUGGCAGUUCUAUUUACUGCUAUAAUCCUUAAGACAACUACUGCGCGGCAUACUAGUCAAAUGAGUGCUAAAUUCUCACAAUGGGUGCUGAAGUCUACGCAAAGUUUUUCGCUUUAAUUAAGAGUAGUAGAGGCCAACUUGUAUUACACAUGUGUCCUCUACGUAGGGAAAUAACAAUAACGAUGGACAUGCAAAAACAUUAAUUUAUAAAAGAGAAUUUCCAUCAUGUUACAUUAUCCUUGAAUUUUUUCCAGGAGUAACCCGUAUUUUUAUCCGAUUUUAAUGCAUCAUAGCACAUUUUGUCUCUCAAAAUUUGCUUCACGAAUUCACCACGUAGAUUUCUUGUAAUGUUGACCGUUUAACGAUUAUACAGCUGUUUGUUCAUGGAAGAAUUUUUUCGCCGGUUAACCAACUACUAUAAUUAUUAACCCUCCGUCCGUAAUAUGCAUGGACUAUAUACGAUUUUAAUAUUUGGCUUAUGCUCUAAAAGAUUCAUAUUACGGUCUGAAGGUUAAAGGUCAAUCUUACAAAAAAUCUACGCGGUGAAUUCGUAAAACAAUGUUUGGAAAGUUAAUGAACCGUGGUGCAUUAAAGUAGAUAAAAAAUUACGAAUUAUUCUUUGAAAAAACUCAACGAAAAUGUACGCUCAUGGAGAUUUGCAUUUAUCAGUUAAUGUUUUAGCAAACCCAUCGUUAUUAAUAUUUCUCUAGGUUGAGGCCACAUGCUGUACCACAAAUCGACCUCCACCACUCUUAAUUAUUUUUCUCAGCUUUGUAUAAACCAUUUUGAAAAUUCAAUACUCAUUUAACCAAGUUGCCGCGCAUUAGUUACCUUAAAGAAUGUUUUAGCGUCAGUCAUGACUCAUUGGGAUUCGUUCCGAAUACUCGAGAGUUCUCCCGUUUCGCAAAAAUUCAGUAAAAAAAAGUAUAUACGUCGUGAACGAUAAUGGGUCUCAGCGCUCAUCACUGGCUGCAGUGGGCCUGUUCUCUUCUCGUCUCAUUCGCUAAAUAACGUAUCGAGUAUUUCGAUAUCGUUCUCGUUGAUCAUCCCGUAUACAGUUUCAGAAAUGAAGCGUUUGCUGCUGUCGGUGUAAAUUUGCAGAAUUCAACGUCGAGUGUACAACGAACAUGUAGUAUGGCCUGCACCAUUCCAACUGACAUUUUGUUGCGUAAUUUGUCUUAGACAAUAUUGACGAUGGAAAAUGCACGCUUAACCGCGGCAUUUGAAAAGGGUAGACUGAGCAGUCCGGGACCGAGGUAUGCAAUGUUUCCGUAUUUUUUAUUUCCUCCUGCGUCCUUUAUUUCAUCGACGCGAGCCCAGAAACUUUCAGUGCUGGAAACAUCAAUCACUUUGGCCCUGUGAAGUAUAUUCCAUUCGUGGAUAGUUGAGCUGAUAUCAUUGCACAGAGUGUUUUUGAAUUUCACUGCAAUGUUCGUGAUAUCAGCUUUGACCUGUGAUGAUGCGAUCUGGGGCGAAAAUUUCGAUAUCUGAUCAAGAACUUUGAUAUUUUCCGGAACUCUUUUUUCCAGUUGCGAAAUCAAAACUAUCGUGAAAUCUUCACACCGGCCUUUGACCUGAUUCAUCGAAUCUGGAUGAACGUUGGCAGCCAGAACGUUAAACUCGUAUCCGAAAUUUAUGCACUCGAGAGACAUGCAGUAGCGUUUAAAAUCGCAUUCUGCAAUAUCGUAAUGUAAUAUUUUGUUCAGCUGCGACGGAACAACGAGUGUUUGAAGAAGAGAACAAAUACAAUCAUUCAAAUCUUUGAACAACUUCAACGGGUCGACGGAAUCAGAUUGAAACAAUCUGUUCAGCCCCAUAAUACCUUUCAGCGUUGAACUAAGGAAAGUCAAAUAUAAAUUAUUUUCCGGUGUCGAGAACAUUCUGUAAAGUUGGCUAGCAGUAUUCGCUGUGAGCCGCCGCUUGGAGGGGAGCUGCGAAACGAUCGCAGUGCGCGGGGUGGCGAGUAGUGAGUUGAGCCAGCGUGUGUUGCGAUAGCAUUUUGUGGCAUUUUGUAUGAGAAACAAUAGACGGUAUGUGGAAUUACACUUGUUGUGUUGUUAACUGCAAAAAUAACGGUAAAACUAGUGAUUGUAUAUUUUACAAGUUUCCAACUGCAUCACAUAAAAUAGUUCAAAGGCAAAAAUGGAUUGCUGCUGUGAAAAGAAAAAAAAAAAAUCAGAUGAUCCUGCGAGUCCAAGCUACGCGCCAACUCUAUUCCCUCCAGUUUA
rnacentral:lncRNA from 1 species